ensembl:snRNA U6 U6 spliceosomal RNA
GUGCUUUGGCAGCACUUAUACUAAAGUUGGAACAAUACAGAGAAGAUCAGCAUGGCCCCUGCGCAAGGAUGACACGCAGAUUCGGGAAGCGUUCCGUAUUUCG